rnacentral:lncRNA from 1 species
CACGGUUUGGAUUUCAGCGUAUUUACAUGCAUUUUCAUGUCUUUCACUUGUUAUAGCGUCUUUCUGUAGGUUUUUUGAGUGAGCAUCUUUAUUAUCUGUUUUACAUCUGGACAAGAGUGGUUUCUCUUCGUCAUUUGAAUGUUCAAUUAUUGAUUGAUAUUUGUGAUUUUGGUUAUCUUGUUUUGGUGUACAGCUAUAACGCACUCCAAUUGACGAAACUUCGAAUAUUUGUAAC